GCCGUGCUCCCUCCCGCCUUGAUGAUAAUGGACUGAACCUCUGAGCCUGCUGAGAUGUGACCUGUUUCCUGCUCCGAUGACCUGCUCCGAUGCUACAUGCCACCGUGGUUCCCUGUCAUCAUGGACUCUUACCCUGUGCAACCAUAAGCCAAAUAACCCCAAAAUAAGAUACACGCGCCGGGCAGUGGUGGCGC